UUCAGAGGAAGCCACAAUAAAUUACUUCUUCAUGGGUUCUAGGGAUUCAACUCAUCUCUUUGGGCUUCAGUACAACUUGUGUUUCAGAAGACAUUUCUUGAUGUUCUAUAGGAUGGAACCCUUAAGUCCUUGUUCAUGCUUGGCAGAUACUGCUAUACCACAUCUUUCUGAUUCAAACCUGAACAAUGAGAUUGAUAAGAAUGAACAAUAAAGAUCAAAGAACUAUAGGCCCUUAUGGUCUUCUUUGGAUGGGCAUAUUUGAGGGAUUUUAGAAUCCUUAACCUGUACCAGCCAAGAAUGGUCUGAGAGAAAUCAGCCAAUGGUUUUUGCAUCUCAUUUGUUUUUCAUAAAUUAAAAUAUGGGGUGACAGGGAGAGUCCUGCGGUAAAGAGCACGUAUUCUUCUUCCAGAGGACCAAAGCUGGAAUCACAUCACCAGUAUCAUACAGUUCACAGCCACUUGUGACUCACAUUCCAGCAAAUAAAUUUCCAGCAACAGAGACCCUUACAGAAAACCACAACCUAUCAAAUUGCAGAGAACAAGAAGUAUUGUGAUUCCUAUUUUCAGCUUGUAUAUUCACUUGCCACACAAUGCCUGCCGUUAAGGCUCAUGAAUCAUUGCUGAAGAGUUCCAAAUAGACUUUAAGGUUUAAAGAAGCAGGGGAUUUGUAUAUCCUCGAAUGUCAGGGAGGCAACACCCAGAAAUUCUCAUUAGCAUGGCUUCCUAAAUAAACCUGAAAAAGGUUGACACCAAUGAAAGGGCUAACAUGGGGGCAAGGGAUGCCCAGAGGGCUUCAAUCUUAGAAAAAAGACCUUCAAUCAACUGGAAAUGCUGAGAAUGGGAGAAACAGUAUUCCCCAGGAAAGAACUCACCAGUUGCUUGUCCAAGUACAAGUGAACAAUCCUGAGACCAUAUACAAGUAACUUUUUGCAGAGACAGGUGGUUUUAUUUAUGUGUUUAGGUUGUAAAGAAAACGGCGCUAUGAACUUGAAAGAGAAUGGUAGAGGGGUUGGAGAAAGAAAAGCAAAGCAAAUAAAUUAUAUAUUUAUAUUAUAAAUAUGAAAAUAAACCAAUUGAUGAUUGGUUUAAUCCUUAUUCAUUGUAUUCAUUUAGCAAUCUGACAAAGAACACAAUUAAUAAAAAUGAUCUGAAUGAAUGUACUAAUGAAAGCAAACAUAUAUAGCUUAAAAGAUAUAUGACAAAAUAAAUGUCUCUUUUGAUUUCAUACUUUUCACACAAUAUUUUAAGGAAACAUGCUUGUCUGGAAACUUGUUGAACCUUGAACUUAUCACUCUCCAGCCCCAGCAUGGAUAGUGCUAGAUUUACAAUUCUGUGACAAUAUGCCUGGUUUAACACACUUCCUUUAAACAAUGCAUCACAGAAUCCCUACAGAUAUUCAUACAUCUGCAUAUAUGAGUAUUAAGAGUGUCAGAUGACAGAUAAUGAGAAAUUUUGGACUAAUCAGAAAUCUUACCUAAAGAGUCCAGACAUUUGAAUUUAAUAUGCUAGCCUAUUCAGUUGUAGCAAAAGGUUUUAAUCAAGGGAAUACGGUAUGGAAAGCAAUGUUUAAAAAGUAUUAGUCUAGGAACAGUGUAGAUAUUACUUGUAUGAUAAAUGCAAAUAUAAAAAGGGAAAGAUUGGAGAAUCUUGUCAUAGCAGGUCAAAUAGACAGAAGAAAAUGAACUGCAGAGUCAUUAACAGAGAAAAAUUGAACAAAAAAAAAAAUCUGAUAGGAGAUUAAGCAGUGGUAGCAGUCAAAUUAAUUCUAACAUCAUGACCCAAUUAUAUUGGAAUGAAUGUUAAGGAUGUUGAUAGAAUUGUGAAUUUAGAAAGCAUAGCAGGCUGAGAGGGCAGAUGUAAAGCAAGACAUCUGAACAGCUGGCGUUUUUUCUUUUUAAGUGACGGCAAAAGAAAUCCUCUCACAAGCCAUCAACACAUAGCUGGAUUCACUGAGGCAUAGAUGAGGAGAGCAGAGAAGCAGCAGAAGCAAACAGACCUGCAUGCUGAAUACUCUAACAGAGAUGAAAUGUUCCCUCUGAGUAACGACUGAGUUCACCGGGGUGGCCAACGCUGCCAAAUCACUGCUACAAACACUGCAAUGCUCAAAAAUAAAUUCAGACAGCAAAGAAACUUUGGAGUAACAUAUGCAUAUAAUGACCCCCCCCAAAAAAAAAAAAAGAAAUAGAGUAACAAGAUGAUUAGAGUUAACUCAUUGUGAUGAGGCACCUCUAUGUUAGACAGUCUUUUCUCUAGUUUCUUUGGACAUUAUCUCCUUUCUUUCUGUGGAUGACAUACAAUGGAAAAUUAGACUUGAGAGUCACUCCUCUUCCUUUAAGACAAAGAAUUGUUUCAAUUCACCAUGUCCAUUGCCAUGAAUUCUGUCCUAUUCAGUGGACAAGAUUUUUCCUUCAUGCUACUACUCCACAUAAGCUAUUUCAACAUUCUUGCCUACAUUUUUGGUUUAACUUAAGGGAUAAAGAAGUAUAUACAUGUCUCAUACUCUUAAGGAUUAGAAUCACAUAAACAUGAGGAGUGACUGUCCUUGUCUAGUCAUUACGCAUAAGAAAAUACCAUGAAUAGAAUGUCUCAUUCCUUGAAUCUCUGCUCUGAACUUUGUCACUGUAACUCCUUUCAUGGGUAUUUUGUUCCCAUAGAAAUACUGAAACAAAAAUUAAAUAGAGAAACUAUGGUACUAGAUGACAUUAUAAAUCAAGUACAUGGAAUAACAACUUACAUAACUCUCCAUCAAAACAUGAAGGAAAAUACUUUCUUUUUCUCAAAACCUAAAACACUUUCCAAAAUCUGCCAUGUAUUAGAAUAAAAGGUAAGUCUCAAUAAACUUAGGAAAACUGAAAUAAUAUCCUUAAUACUAUCUGAUCAUGAAGGUAAAGUUGGAUAUUAACAAUAACAGCAAUUACAACAACAACAACAAUUUAUUGACACUAACAAAAGACAUAACUGGAUGUUAAUUGGGCCAACCAAUAAGUCAA